rnacentral:rRNA from 1 species
UACGAGGGGAGCAAGCGUUGUUCGGAUUUACUGGGCGUAAAGGGCGCGUAGGCGGCGUGACUAGUCACUUGUGAAAUCUCCGGGCUUAACUCGGAACGGUCAAGUGAUACUGUCGUGCUAGAGUACAGAAGGGGCAACUGGAAUUCUCGGUGUAGCGGUGAAAUGCGUAGAGAUGUGGAGGAACACCGAUGGCGAAGGCAGCCUUCUGGGCCAACACUGACGCUCAUGCACGAAAGCGUGGGGAGCAAACAGG